rnacentral:sRNA from 1 species
ACCAGGCACAGUGGCCCAUGCCUGUAAUCCCAGCGCUCAGGAGGCUGAGGCAGGAGGAUCGCAAGUUCAAAGCCAGCCUCAGCAAAAUCGAGGUGCUAAGCAACUCAGUGAGACCCUGUCUCUA